AAAAAGACAAACCCUGGUUUCCGUGCCCAACAUUUGACCGUUCGUCUUAUUUGAAAAAAUUAUGAAAAAAAUUAAAAAGACAAGUCACGCAUAAAAUAUUAAUCAUGUUUUACCAUCUAACAANCGUCUUAUUUGAAAAAAUUAUGAAAAAAAUUAAAAAGACAAGUCACGCAUAAAAUAUUAAUCAUGUUUUACCAUCUAACAACAAUGAAAAUACGAAUUAUAAAAAAAAUUCAUAUAAGACGGACAGUCAAAGUUGGAUAUGGAAAUCCAGGGUUUGCCUUUUU
rnacentral:pre_miRNA from 1 species